rnacentral:lncRNA from 1 species
AAACAAGUCAGUAAAAUUAGGUGAGCUCACAAAGAAUUGGAUGUGAAGAAAGAAGCUGCAAGCAGAAGAACUGUAGUGAAAAUCUUUCCAACUUCACACAGUCCUCAGUGAUUUCUAUCAAGUAUUUUCUUAGUUGUGGCUCAGGUAAAGAACUGUCAUUGUCUUCUUCCAGAUUCUUCACAGAUACUUCCUCCUCUGGAGCUGACAAGAAGUGAGCCACACAGGGAAGCCUUGCCCAAGGGUGGGUGUCCCGGCCCGCAGAUGAGUCAAGGCUUAACAGAGUAAACAGCACUUCUAUCUCAGAAAACUGUGGGAAACGUCUUCAAAGGGAAAAAAGGGGAUCCUAGUUCCUGGGGCAAAGACCCUGGUCCUAUGACCAGAGAAACAGUAAAGUCACAGCAUGGGCCCAGGCUUGCCCCUGGAUUGGACUCUGAUUCUGACAUAUACAGAUAUUUGAUGCCAAGUCACAAAGGCCUGGGACUGCAGGAGGAGGAGAACAUUUUAUCACAGUCCAGUAAGAAUGUCCAAAGACGACUGGCAUGGUGGCCCACACAUGUAAUCCCAGCAAUCAGGAGGCUGAGGCAGGAGGAUUGUGAAGAGUUCAAGGAUAACCUGGGCUCCAUAGUGAGUUCAAGACCAGCCUGAACUACACAGUGAGAAUCUGUCUUAACAAAAUGAAAAAGGUGAGAGAGAGAGAGAAUCUCAUCUCCAAGGAGCAAUGAGGUGCUCUUGGCAUGAACCUGAUACUCACCAGAGUCAUUCUGUUUAUCUGUUGAACCACAUGCAACUCUCCAUCACCAUUUCCAG